rnacentral:rRNA from 1 species
GAUGAACGCUGGCGGCGUGCCUAACACAUGCAAGUCGAGCGAUUCUCUUCGGAGAAGAGCGGCGGACGGGUGAGUAACGCGUGGGUAACCUGCCUGUACACACGGAUAACAUACCGAAAGGUAUGCUAAUACGAGAUAAUAUACUUUUAUCGCAUGGUAGAAGUAUCAAAGCUCCGGCGGUACAGGAGGGACCCGCGUCUGAUUAGCUAGUUGGUAAGGUAACGGCUUACCAAGGCGACGAUCAGUAGCCGACCUGAGAGGGUGAUCGGCCACAUUGGAACUGAGACACGGUCCAAACUCCUACGGAGGCAGCAGUGGGGAAUAUUGCACAAUGGGCGAAAGCCUGAUGCAGCAACGCCGCGUGAGCGAUGAAGGCCUCGGGUCGUAAAGACUCUGUCCUCAAGGAAGAUAAUGACGGUACUUGAGGAGGAAG